rnacentral:tRNA from 1 species
UCUUUUAAAGUAAAAAAAUUACAUUUAAUUUCGACUUAAAAAUUUGAUUAUAUUUUUAAUCUAAAAGAA